CAUUGCUUUGGUAUUGGGUCACCUGCUUGCAUUAAGGGACGUUGUGAGAAAUUGGUGCUUGUACAAAGGUUGUUACUGUCUCCUGAGCUCUUGCAAAGACAAAGUUUGCAACAACCAACGCUAUUGCUUCUGAGGACCUGGAGGAGAAAUUCUUCUCAGGUGUCAGCCAUAGAAGAGGCAGGCCACCUGCUAAAUGACUCACCUGCAUUUAUCUUACUGCUGGUGGGAAUUUUGUAGCUAACCCUGUUCCUCUCUUUGCUUUGUGAGCUGGAAGCUUGGGGCCAAGUUCGCGAGCCACCUCUGUCAGCAAUGAACUCUCCAGCUUCAUUUUUUUCCUACUUAAAAUUUUCAUUUUCCUGUUUCCCUCAACAACUUAGUCCAGCAUCUUGAAUUACUUGCAUUUUUGGAAGUUACAUCAAAUCCUUGGUGGACUGAGGCAAAAUAUAAAGGAAAUAUGGAGAAAACAGUUCCCUCUUUGGUUGGAUGCACUUGGUUGCCACCAGUUCCAGUGACAGCUUCAGGGCCCAUUCCAACUGCUUCUUACUAGUGAAACAUGGUAGGACUGCGCUUAGCUGCCCUCUGGAAAUCCAGUACGGCUGUGGGAUUGACUUUGGCCAAUGAAAUGUGAGCAGAAAUCACGCCCCUUCCAGAAAAAAGCCUUCAAAUGCCUGUGAGCCAUAGGUCCUUCUGCUGCCACUAUGACCAACAAUGUUACUGUUCCUAGUGUCUUUGUCAGCCUGUGUCCCACAGGGAAGGAAGUGUGCAGAAGAGCCCCAUGUACCCAUGAUGAACAUGAAGCA
rnacentral:lncRNA from 1 species